AAAUCUUUUUAUUUUGUCCUGUUCGUCUCCAUGCUUUCUGAAUGGAAAGUACUCAGAGUUCCACCAGUCUUCGCAACAGUGACCUGAUGAUGAUUUAUCCCUUCUGAAAUGAUGGCCAAAUUCUCUUCAUUUCUGGUGUAGGGAGCAAUUACUUGACUUGCUUUUCCGAGCACUGCACAGUCAAGUCAGCAACUUGAGAAGUGACCGUGUGUUCAGAUCAAGAGAGAAGUAAAAUUCACCCUUCCGGAUUUGUCUGCAAAACAGACAGCUUAGUUUAUUAUGUCCCCAAGAAGAGCACCAUUCAUCUGUUUUUGGAGAGUCUCAGUUUCACUGUCAAGUAAAUUACAAAGAGACUUUGUUAAUUGUAAUGUGUUGCAAGAAGUUUGUAUUUUAGUUUCCCCCUACUGGUUGUGUAAAGGUAUUGUUUUUUUGUGGUGUAAUGCAUUCCACUAUUCUCAUUGGCCAGUUAAGUCAUGUGACUCUGCUUGAUCACAUGAUCGAGCCUGUCAGGAGAAGCUGAAGCCAUCAGCACAUGGACAGCAGACAGCUGCAGCAACCUCAUUCUUUCCUCCUUUUGAUGUGCCUUGGAAAGCUUCGCUUUUGUACAGCAAUGAAUACCUUCACGAAAAUGAUGACAACAGUAAAGGACAUUGAACUUUA